rnacentral:rRNA from 1 species
AAUGGGCGCAAGCCUGAUGCAGCAACGCCGCGUGCGGGAUGAAGGCCCUCGGGUUGUAAACCGCUUUCAGCAGGGACGAAACUGACGGUACCUGCAGAAGAAGCCCCGGCUAACUACGUGCCAGCAGCCGCGGUAAUACGUAGGGGGCAAGCGUUAUCCGGAUUUAUUGGGCGUAAAGCGCGCGUAGGCGGCUUGUUAAGUCAGAUGUGAAAACCGGGGGCUCAACCCGCGGCCUGCAUCUGAAACUGGCAGGCUUGAGUCUGGUAGAGGAAAGUGGAAUUCCUGGUGUAGCGGUGAAAUGCGCAGAUAUCAGGAGGAACACCAGUGGCGAAGGCGGCUUUCUGGGCCACGACUGACGCUGAGGCGCGAAAGCUAGGGGAGCGAA